rnacentral:lncRNA from 1 species
AUGCUUUCAAAUGGACAAGUGUUGGACAGAAGUCAGUCCCCAUGGAGAUUGUCUUUUAUAACAGAUUUGUUCUGGAGAAUAGCAGAAUUUGUUUUGUUUUGUCUUUUCAAAACUCUUCUUCACCAAGAUUUGAAAAAAGGCAAGCCUAUGGAAUUCCGCUCCUGGGAGUCCAGACAUGAUGAUGGGAGGUCUCCAGGAAACUCCCCACGAGGAAUGGGUCAGAUCAGGCAUCCCCAUGGCCUCAGCCCUUCUCCAAUGCUGGUGGAUGA